rnacentral:rRNA from 1 species
GACGAACGCUGGCGGCGUGCUUAACACAUGCAAGUCGAACGAGACGAUUGAAAGCUUGCUUUCGAAAGUCGAGUGGCAAACGGGUGAGUAACGCGUAGACAACCUGCCUUUGAGAUGGGGACAACAGUUCGAAAGGACUGCUAAUACCGAAUGUUGUAUAUUUUCCACAUGGAAGAUAUAUUAAAGAUGGCCUCUAUUUAUAAGCUAUCGCUCAAAGAUGGGUAUGCGUCUGAUUAGCUAGUUGGUGGGGUAACGGCCUACCAAGGCGACGAUCAGUAGCCGGUCUGAGAGGAUGAACGGCCACAUUGGGACUGAGACACGGCCCAGACUCCUACGGGAGGCAGCAGUGGGGAAUCUUCCACAAUGGACGAAAGUCUGAUGGAGCAACGCCGCGUGAGUGAAGAAGGGUUUCGGCUCGUAAAGCUCUGUUGUCGGGGACGAAUGUGCAUUACUUGAGUAAAGUAGUGUAAUGACGGUACCUGACGAGGAAGCCACGGCUAACUACGUGCCAGCAGCCGCAGUAA